GUCAGGAUGGCCGAGCGGUCUAAGGCGCCAGUCUCAAGAAUUGAGGCGUGGGUUCGAAUCCCACUUCUGACA